CGUACAGGUUUCCGUAGGUGAACCUGCGGAAGGAUCAUUAUUGAUUGGUCGAAAGACCUUAUCAGAUUCUACCACCUCUGUGAACCGUUGACCUCCGGGUUAAUAAUCAAACAUCAGUGUAACGAACGUAAGAGUAUCUUAAUUAAACAAAACUUUUAACAACGGAUCUCUUGGCUCUCGCAUCGAUGAAGAACGCAGCGAAAUGCGAUAAGUAAUGUGAAUUGCAGAAUUCAGUGAAUCAUCGAAUCUUUGAACGCACCUUGCGCCUUUUGGUAUUCCGAAAGGCAUGCCUGUUUCAGUGUCAUGAAAUCUCAAUCUAAUAUGUUUUCUGAACAUGUUAGGCUUGGACUUAGGUGUCUGCCAGCAAUGGCUCACCUCAAAUGACUUAGUGGAACAUCCCACAUCAGUGUUAGACGUAAUAAGUUUCGUCUCUCCUUGUGGUGAUGACUGCUCAAAACCUGCCAUCGCGCACCUUUUGACUUUGACCUGAAAUCAGGUAGGGCUACCCGCUGAACUUAAGCAUAUCA
rnacentral:rRNA from 1 species